GGGUUGUGAGGUUAAGCGACUAAGCGUACACGGUGGAUGCCCUGGCAGUCAGAGGCGAUGAAGGACGUGCUAAUCUGCGAAAAGCGUCGGUAAGGUGAUAUGAACCGUUAUAACCGGCGAUGUCCGAAUGGGGAAACCCAGUGCAAUUCGUUGCACUAUCGUUAACUGAAUACAUAGGUUAACGAGGCGAACCGGGGGAACUGAAACAUCUAAGUACCCCGAGGAAAAGAAAUCAACCGAGAUUCCCCCAGUAGCGGCGAGCGAACGGGGAGCAGCCCAGAGUCUGAAUCAGCUUGUGUGUUAGUGGAACGGUCUGGAAAGUCCGACGGUACAGGGUGAUAGUCCCGUACACCAAAAUGCACAGGCUGUGAACUCGAAGAGUAGGGCGGGACACGUGGUAUCCUGUCUGAAUAUGGGGGGACCAUCCUCCAAGGCUAAAUACUCCUGACUGACCGAUAGUGAACCAGUACCGUGAGGGAAAGGCGAAAAGAACCCCGGCGAGGGGAGUGAAAAAGAACCUGAAACCGUGUACGUACAAGCAGUGGGAGCACCUUCGGGUGUGACUGCGUACCUUUUGUAUAAUGGGUCAGCGACUUAUAUUCUGUAGCAAGGUUAACCGUAUAGGGGAGCCGCAGGGAAACCGAGUCUUAACUGGGCGUUAAGUUGCAGGGUAUAGACCCGAAACCCGGUGAUCUAGCCAUGGGCAGGUUGAAGGUUGGGUAACACUAACUGGAGGACCGAACCGACUAAUGUUGAAAAAUUAGCGGAUGACUUGUGGCUGGGGGUGAAAGGCCAAUCAAACCGGGAGAUAGCUGGUUCUCCCCGAAAGCUAUUUAGGUAGCGCCUCGUGAAUUCAUCUUCGGGGUAGAGCACUGUUUCGGCUAGGGGGUCAUCCCGACUUACCAACCCGAUGCAAACUACGAAUACCGAAGAAUGUUAUCACGGGAGACACACGGCGGGUGCUAACGUCCGUCGUGAAGAGGGAAACAACCCAGACCGCCAGCUAAGGUCCCAAAGUCAUGGUUAAGUGGGAAACGAUGUGGGAAGGCACAGACAGCCAGGAUGUUGGCUUAGAAGCAGCCAUCAUUUAAAGAAAGCGUAAUAGCUCACUGGUCGAGUCGGCCUGCGCGGAAGAUGUAACGGGGCUAAACCAUGCACCGAAGCUGCGGCAGCGACACUAUGUGUUGUUGGGUAGGGGAGCGUUCUGUAAGCCUGCGAAGGUGUGCUGUGAGGCAUGCUGGAGGUAUCAGAAGUGCGAAUGCUGACAUAAGUAACGAUAAAGCGGGUGAAAAGCCCGCUCGCCGGAAGACCAAGGGUUCCUGUCCAACGUUAAUCGGGGCAGGGUGAGUCGACCCCUAAGGCGAGGCCGAAAGGCGUAGUCGAUGGGAAACAGGUUAAUAUUCCUGUACUUGGUGUUACUGCGAAGGGGGGACGGAGAAGGCUAUGUUAGCCGGGCGACGGUUGUCCCGGUUUAAGCAUGUAGGCUGGUUGUCCAGGCAAAUCCGGAUAAUCAAGGCUGAGGUGUGAUGACGAGGCACUACGGUGCUGAAGUAACAAAUGCCCUGCUUCCAGGAAAAGCCUCUAAGCAUCAGGUAACAUCAAAUCGUACCCCAAACCGACACAGGUGGUCAGGUAGAGAAUACCAAGGCGCUUGAGAUAACUCGGGUGAAGGAACUAGGCAAAAUGGUGCCGUAACUUCGGGAGAAGGCACGCUGGUGUGUAGGUGAAGCCCCUGCGGGUGGAGCUGAGACCAGUCGAAGAUACCAGCUGGCUGCAACUGUUUAUUAAAAACACAGCACUGUGCAAACACGAAAGUGGACGUAUACGGUGUGACGCCUGCCCGGUGCCGGAAGGUUAAUUGAUGGGGUUAUCCGUAAGGAGAAGCUCUUGAUCGAAGCCCCGGUAAACGGCGGCCGUAACUAUAACGGUCCUAAGGUAGCGAAAUUCCUUGUCGGGUAAGUUCCGACCUGCACGAAUGGCGUAAUGAUGGCCAGGCUGUCUCCACCCGAGACUCAGUGAAAUUGAACUCGCUGUGAAGAUGCAGUGUACCCGCGGCAAGACGGAAAGACCCCGUGAACCUUUACUAUAGCUUGACACUGAACAUUGAGCCUUGAUGUGUAGGAUAGGUGGGAGGCUUUGAAGCGUGGACGCCAGUCUGCGUGGAGCCAACCUUGAAAUACCACCCUUUAAUGUUUGAUGUUCUAACGUUGGCCCCUUACCGGGGUUGCGGACAGUGUCUGGUGGGUAGUUUGACUGGGGCGGUCUCCUCCCAAAGCGUAACGGAGGAGCACGAAGGUUAGCUAAUCCUGGUCGGACAUCAGGAGGUUAGUGCAAUGGCAUAAGCUAGCUUGACUGCGAGCGUGACGGCGCGAGCAGGUGCGAAAGCAGGUCAUAGUGAUCCGGUGGUUCUGAAUGGAAGGGCCAUCGCUCAACGGAUAAAAGGUACUCCGGGGAUAACAGGCUGAUACCGCCCAAGAGUUCAUAUCGACGGCGGUGUUUGGCACCUCGAUGUCGGCUCAUCACAUCCUGGGGCUGAAGUAGGUCCCAAGGGUAUGGCUGUUCGCCAUUUAAAGUGGUACGCGAGCUGGGUUUAGAACGUCGUGAGACAGUUCGGUCCCUAUCUGCCGUGGGCGCUGGAGAAUUGAGGGGGGCUGCUCCUAGUACGAGAGGACCGGAGUGGACGCAUCACUGGUGUUCGGGUUGUCAUGCCAAUGGCACUGCCCGGUAGCUAAAUGCGGAAGAGAUAAGUGCUGAAAGCAUCUAAGCACGAAACUUGCCCCGAGAUGAGUUCUCCCUGAGACUUUAAGUCUCCUGAAGGAACGUUGAAGACGACGACGUUGAUAGGCCGGGUGUGUAAGCGCAGCGAUGCGUUGAGCUAACCGGUACUAAUGAACCGUGAGGCUUAACCUUACAACGCCGAAG
rnacentral:rRNA from 1 species